rnacentral:lncRNA from 1 species
CUAAAUGAGCUAUUGUGUUUGUCAUUGAAGACCUGAAAAGAUGGAUGAAGAGGAACCAAAGGCUCUUAACUAUAUUCCAGAGGUUAUAUUAAAGAAAAGGAAAAACAGUGAAGCAUGGGCGUUGAGAAAAAAAGACCAAUUGCAGAAAAAAGAUUUCCAGUUGAGGAAAUCCAAGGACUUUAUUAAAAAGCCUGAGGAUUUUAUUCUCGAAUAUCGUAACAGGGUAGCUUUUUUACCUUUAUUUUCCUCUUUUAAUUUUGUGAUAUUCAAUUUUAUGAAUUUUGCAAUAUUAUGUCCGACUAAUGUCAUUUUUAUCCAUCUGUGCUUACUUGUGUAGGAGGUCGACCUCAUUCGAAUGAAAAGGAGGGUCAAGAGGAGACGGGCAGAAAAAUCAACCCCAUGCAACAAGCCCAUAAUAGUCAUUCGUAUACAGGGGUAGUUUCUCUGUUUCACCCCUUGAUGCUUUGAUAUUUUGUCUCUGUGAACAGUCAUAACAUCUUUCUUUUGCUCCAUUCGUUUUUAGGAAACAAGACAUGCAUCCUACAACCAGAAAGCACUUAUUCAGUUUGGGAUUGAGAAGAAUAUUCAGUGCUGUCUUUGUCAAACCAACUGAUGGAGUGAUGGCCAAGCUGGCGAGAGUUGAACCAUAUGUUACCUAUGGGUAAGAGAUUGAUUAAUGUUCACAAUGACAUGAUUAUGAGUUUAUGUUAUGAUAUGUUUAGUGGAAGGGUAGAUUUUUCUCUGAACCAUUGUUGUCAAAUUACUAGUGUCUAUAGUUGUGUUAUCGUGAUAUAGCAUAGUGGAAUUUGAACUAAUCACUAUUAUUCUUUGAUGCACUAUUUAGUACGAAGUGUUAAACAAACCACUAUUUUCUGUGAUUGACAACACUCUUGUGGUGUAGCGGAAUUUAAACAAACCACUAUUUUCUGUGAUUGACAACACUAUUUAUAGGUUAAAGGAAACUUCAUUUAUUCUAAACAAUAUAGCUGACCCUCCUAUCCCCAAAAUUUGAAAUGAAACUUCUGACCAGAACAUCAACUUCAUAAAUUCUGUGUUUUGACAGGAUCAAGGAUAUUAUAGUUGAUGCUUGCAAUUAAUUUAAGAAUGAAAAAUGGUAAACCUUAUGUGUACCAAUCAGAGUAUUCCGCGAAAUGUCACACAAAUGAUGCAUUAGCAACUAUGUAAAGUUAGUACACAUGGUGAAUAGCACCACUCUCUUAGAAAAAACAUGUUUUUGCUAUUUUCUCAUCUUUACUUUCCUGUAUAUAUAUUGAAUUAUUCCCAAAUUUCAGUUUCUGAGGAUUAUUCCUAAUUUUGUCGAAAUUUGCUUCUUUUGAAGAUAUCCAAAUCUUAAAAACAUAAAGGAGCUAAUUUACAAGAAGGGACAUGCAAAAAUAGAUAGGCGAAAAGUUCCUUUGACAGAUAAUAACCUUAUUGAGCAGGUAAUACACAAUGUUCCUAGAUUACUAGUUUUCUUUUGACCCUACUACUUAAUUGUUUUUAUAAUUCUUCCACUUUUUGCCUUGCAGGAAUUAGGAAAGUUUGGUAUCGUUUGCAUAGAAGACAUGGUUCAUCAAAUUGAAAAUGUUGGUCCACACUUUAAGGAAGUUGUCAGAUUUAUGUGGCCCUUUGAACUGAACAAGCCAGCUGAUGGAUUGAAAGGAUUGAAAAAUCGAUUCAAGGUUGGUGGAGAUUCAGGGGACCGUGAGGAUCUCAUCAACGAGCUCAUCAAUAAAAUGAAUUAAUAUAGGUCAAAGUUUUGUGGUUUGUCCAGAACGUCAACGAGCUCAUCAACAAAAUACUAUCAAAGUUUUGAUGGUUUGUAUUGUCCCUCACAUUAAUUUUGAUGGUUUGUCACUAAAAAGCAUACUACCUUUUAUUGUUAUGUAGUAUUGCUGCGCCUUCAUUUAUUUCCUUUAGCCCUUUUUGUUAUCCUUUAUUUAUGAGUUCGUCGACAACAAUGAUAGGAGGGAAGCAAGGGUUUGGUUGAAUGUAUUCGAUGUUACUUGAAACCAUACUCUAUUUGCUGCCUUUUCAAUAUUAAAAACUGUGUUUUGGGUACUGAAAUGAAGUUUCCAUUAUAUAUGUUGACAUAACUGAGCAAAGUGAUAUUAUAUGAAAUAGUAAUAUUUUAAGAAAAGUGUUGCGAUUCAUUCUCGUUCUUUGUGAAACACACCGGUCGGCUGUGAGGCACUUGACAUGCCGCUCUCUCAAUCUCGUACAGGUUCGAACGCAAAACACACACCACAACAGUGCUGGAUUUUCUGCAAGCUAUUCCAGCACCCGACUCAUGAAGUCUGUUACGAUGAUUCAAUUUCCUCAUGAUUGUCUUUGAUUUAACCAAGUAACACCCAUUCCAGUGCUCAUGUUAUUUAUUUAUUUGUUUACUUUUUUUUUAAUAAAAAUAAAAUCUUAUAAUUUAUUAAAGUGAUUGAUUUAGUUUUAUGAAUCUUUAGAAAAGGGGAAUUGAAUUGCAGUGAUCUCUCUCUCAACAAUUAAUUAACACUUGAAAAUUGUCUAUAAAAAAUAAACACCACAAAAGAAUAAUGAUUUAUUGAAAAUGAUGAGGAAAUACAAACUUGUGGGACAAUAUAAUAAACUGAAGUAACAACUAGUACGGGUUACUAUUCAAUGGAAAAAUAUAAAUUAUUAAAAGUUUUUCAUUCUAUUGUACAAAAUUAGAUUAUUAUUAUCUGUGAUUAAGGUUAACGUCGAUUAGUUGAGAUAUUAUUAUUUUUUAAAAUUUAAUAUUAGUUUUUUAUUCUUAUUUUUAAUUAAUGUAUUUUGUGUUAAGUAAUAUAAUAACUAAAAUUUCAACUUUUUAAAGUAAAUAAGAAAGUGUAUCAGAGUUUAAACUAAAAACAAAUGUAACUAUAAAAAAAGGCAUGGUUAUUAAUAUGAGUGUAAAUAUAAGUCUCAGUAAAAAUUAUAAAAAAAUAGGUAUCUAGUAUUCAAUAUGUGUAGAUACAUAGGUUCCCAUAGAAAAGAAAAGAAAAAAAAGGUCAUCCGCCCGUAUUAAUAAAUAUGUAUUAACCCCCCCCCCNNNNNNNNNCCCCUAGAAAUAUAACUCCGUAAAAAUUACAAAAAAAUAAACCCCGUACAUGAGUAUAAAUAAAGGUCCCGUACAAAUUUUAAAAAAAGUCGUCCUAGUAUUAGUAUAUAUAUAUAUAGAAAUAUAGCUCCCCGUAUUACAUAGAUGUUCAUUUUGAUAUUUUUUUUCUUCAAAUUACUUGUGAAAUUUAUUUCAUAUUUAUUAUAUGUAGAUAUUAAAAAUAAUAUAAAUUUAUGGAUUUUAAAGGGAUAGUGGAGAGUGAUCUCCUACUCCCAUUCCUAACGAUGUGAUAUUUUUUCUCCCAGUCUCGUCGAAAUUAUAAAAAAAAUUGGGAUUUAUAUUGAGAUAUGAAUAUAAAUAUAGGUCUCAUGUAAAUAAAAAAAAAUCAACAUUUAACCUAUAUUAUGGAUCAAAUAUAUUGGUUAUGAAACGAAUCUAAAACAUGAAAGUUUGCAUGUAUACGAAAAGAAAGUGAGGUAUAGUCCUCGUGAGCUUAACUCAGUUGAUAGGGAUAUCGCACUAUAUGUGUAGGAGUUCAGGUUCGAUCCCGGGACACUCUACUUAUUCACCUUUAAGGUGAAUUUUCUAAAUACUAGGUUAAAAUGAGUAUAUUAUACUAAGAAAAUGUCAAAUUGCAUCCCUAACACUUUUCCCAUUUUACACUUCCGUUACUUAAGUCGCGGACAUUGUAAAAUGAGUAAUUUUUGAAUAAUUUUCCCCUUAUUGUCCGUUACCUAAGUCGCGGACCCAGACCCAUGAUGAGAAACAUAAACCUAAUUUUUUGUUGUUUAUUUCCCUUUAUUUAAUUUAAAGUAGUCGUUGUUGUAUUCAUUCAUCUUUCUUCUUUCUCUAAGUUCAUUGUUUUGUUUCUUCCACUCUUUUUCUUCUUCUGCGAAACUGAGAUUCCAUCAUCUCAAAUCAUCAUUUCAUCGAAGGUCAGACAACCCUAUUCUCAAAUUCAAUUUAUAUGUGAAAUUCCAAUUCUAUUAUUGCCCCUAUGUCAUUUCAAUUUUUAUUCAAAUUCAUUCUCACUGUUAUGCCUUGUUUGUGGAACAACACAUGUUAUUGCUCAUUAGUUCCUUCUAUCUAAUCUGUCUUAUUUGUUGGUACAUCGCUAUAACUAUAACUAUAAGAAAUCCAUAUCUAUAUAUCUAUAAGAAAUCAUGGUGCCAUUGUACCAAAAAAAAAAAAUCAUGGUGCCAUAAAAAUACCUAAAAUACUCGUAUCUAAAAAAUUGACACCAUAUCAAAAAACCUAAAAUGUCCCUAUCUAAAAAAUCAGAAAUCUAUAUAUUUAUAAGAAACCAUGGUGCCAUAAAAAAAACCUAAAAUACUACCCAUAUCUAAAAAAUUGAUACCACAUCAAAAAACCUAAAAUGCCCUUAGCUAAAAAGUCAGAAAUUAAAGUCUCUCCUAAAUUUGGACGAAGAUAAAUUUGCAAGUUUUGAUUAUGUUUAGGGUUUGCUCCACUAAUAAAAACACACAAUAAAAUCACAGUUUUGAAUUUCAGUCGUCAAUUUUAAUUAAAAACUGUCUUUUCAAUAACAAUGAUCUCAUCUCAGCCGUCAAUUUCAUAUCAGACAAUUUUUAAAACUGUGUUUUCAAUAACAAUUAUCUCAGCCGUUAAUUUAUGAAUUAUGAUCACACUGCAGAUAUCAAAUUACAGCGUGUUACUGAGUGGCAGGAAAUCUUUUUCCUAAAACACGUGCUGUUGAACACUAGCUGCCUACUUCUGAGUUGAGUUUCAUUUCAUCUCCAAAAACGAAGCCGUACAAAACACACAACAAAGUACGAACACAUUAUUGUCAGGUUACAUUCUGAGCGAAAACAUCGUCAAUAACAAUGGAAGCGCCGCCAUUGACUCCUUCAUAUUCCUCUACUUCUCUUCUCAUUCGUCACAAAAAUCCAUCCUCUGUCACUACAUUUUCUCGCUCCCCCAAUUUCAAAAACCGAACUAAAUUCUCAAUUCGUGCUUCAUCUUCUGCUGAUUCUGGUUUGUUUUCUAAUUCUAGCAAUACCCUUUUGAAAAAAUUGGUUUUUUCUUCUGGGGAAUUUGGUUUUAUUUAAACCCUCUCAUUUAUCUGUUGUGUUUUUUUUAUUUGUUUGUUUGUAGUUGUGACUUUACUUGAUUAUGGUGCUGGCAAUGUUCGGAGUGUUAGGAAUGCUAUCAGAUUCCUCGGGUUUGAAAUCAAAGAUGUAAACUUUUUAAUCCAUUUUUCUUAGUGUGCGGUGAAAAAAAUUGAUUUUUACAUGUUUGGUUGCUCUCCGUUAAAAUUAAUUUUGCCUCCAGAAUUAAUUCUAACUUAGGCUAGAAUUUGUAGCUUUUGAGUUUAAACAUGAUUUUUACAUUGAAAUUUAUUGUUCAACUCACUUUUACUAAAAUUAUCCAAACAUAAAUCAGUUUACAUUCAAUUUUAUGCUACGUUUGGAGUCAAAUGCUAAGCUACAUAUCCUAAGAAUGAAUUAUAGAGGCAAAAUCAAUUUCAAUCAACAUCACCAAACACGUCAUAGUCAAUUUUAUGUGUGUGGAAACAAAUUGGCUUUCCGUAGAUGAAAGAUUAUGCAAGUGUUGCUUUUUUUAUGAUGUGUUUUUGAAUUUGAAACAACCGUGUUAUUGAUAGGUUCAAACCCCAGAAGAUAUUUUGAAUGCAAGCCGUUUAGUCUUUCCGGGUGUUGGAGCAUUUGCACCUGCUAUGGAGGUGUUAAGUAAAACUGGGUAAUUUUUAUUUUGGAUUUUUUUCCUCCUCAAUUCAUUUAUUAUUGAUUUAAUAAUUUGAAGCAAUACUAUGCUUAUGGGGAUAGAGUAGUAGGCUUCAUAGUUUUAAACAGUGGUCGCAGUAAUGGUUGCAGUCUUGCUGCAAUCGUUGAUAUGGUGGAGAAUCACAGUCAAAUACUGCCUAUGCUGCCUUAAUCACAAUUACAUUGCGGUUUUAGAAACAUCAAAAGCCAUUAUAUUGUAGCCUAGAUUGCAACGAAGGACCUUUAUUUAAAACCCUAAUAGUAGGCUUGUUAAGGAAAACAAAGGAUAGGACAGGGUAUUCAUAUUAAAUUACUAUGUACAUUAAGAAUGUGUUAAACCAAGACUCCAAUUAUAUGUAUUGGAAUUUUCAAUUACUGUACUAUUUUCUAAGCAAGAUGGGGUUUUGAAAUUUUGGAGAUAGCCAAGUUUGAAAGGGUUGGAGGCUGUUGAAUAAUGUAUACAUCUAAUGUGCUGUUCAAAUAGCAAUAUGUCUCAUUGUCUAUGUACACUUUAAUUGUGCUGAAUUUACUCUGGCAUUGUNNNNNNNNNNNNNCGACGGUUUUUUUUUUUUUUCUUAAAGAAAUUUAUAGUUUUGAACUUCGAGAAUUUAUACUCUAAAUGUUAGGCUUUUUUCUUGAGUUAAAUGUUUAAAUUUGUCAUUCAUUUUAGUAUCAAUCUGCAAGCACUGUCAUAAUUUUGCAGGAUGGGUGAGGCACUAUGUUCAUAUAUUGAAAAGGAUCGCCCAUUUUUAGGCAUUUGUCUUGGACUUCAAUUGCUUUUUGAAUCCAGUGAGGAGAACGGACCAAGUCAGUUAUAAAUCCUCUAUUAUUAUUACUACUAUUUUUUAUAUAUUUGGUAAUCCUUUAAUUCCGUUCUGAACAUUUUAGUAUUAUGUCAUAAAUGGUUGCCAAGAUUUUCAUGCUUAAUGAAGUGCUAUAAGCUAACAAGAGCAACAGUUUUUUUACUCAUAUAUGAUCAUUGAGAUGAAUGAGAUGUAUGAAAUGAAUGAAUUGAGUGGAUGUAUGCGGAAAUAUAAGGUUAUCAACACAAUUUAUUUUUUGGAGUUGCAUCAUCAAUUGAUGAGAAGAUUAUGGAAACUCGGUUAAGAUGAUUUGAUCAUGUGAUAUAAAAAUCCAUAGAGGGAAAAUCAAAUGGAGACUUGCUUAAGAUGAUUUAUCUUUUUUAGCGUGAGAAAAACGGAUCUAAUACAAGAUAUUUUGAUUGAAAUGAGUAGAGGAAGACCAAAGAAGACUUUAGAAAAAUUAGUAAAAAAGGCCAUGUUCUGAUAUUAAUUUUUUUAAAAGUUACCUUUUUAUUCACACUUAAUUGAAGUAUUGAAUGGACAAAUAUGCUUUUGAAUCAGUAAAAGGUCUUGGCUUAAUACCUGGAACCGUUGGGCGAUUUGAUUCAUCAAAUGGUUUUAGGGUGCCACAUAUUGGAUGGAACGCUUUACAAAUCGCAAAGGAGUCAGAAAUUUUGGAUGACGUUGGAAACCGCCAUGUCUAUUUUGUGCACUCUUACCGUGCCAUGCCUGUAUGUUUCCACUUUUCUCUAAAAACAUCCGUGUUACUUUGUCUGUCACAUUCAUAUUCUAUGUUUUUAUCACUUGUGAAAUUGUUAAAGUAAUCUGAUUUGUUUCAUUUCCCAGUCAGAUGAUAACAAAGAGUGGAUAUCCUCCACCUGUGACUAUGGUGAUAAAUUUAUAGCAUCAAUUAGAAGAGGAAAUGUGCAUGCAGUUCAAUUCCAUCCAGAGAAGAGUGGAGGCAAGUUUUACCUUCGUUACCGAUCUCUUGAGUGUUUUGGUAUUUUUCUAUUUUUUCAUGUUAAGAUAUACCCAGUGUUGUCAAAUAUCGGCCAUGGCGGAUUUUUUGAUAACCUCCAUGGCCAGUUUUGGUAGGAUGGCUGCGUCAUGGUGUUUUAUGGCAGAUCAAAUUGGCAUUUUUUUGCGUUCUUCCAUCUGCAAUCCAUAACACUGGAUAUACCUAACCCUAAAUCAUGGAGAUCACAAUCUUCAUUGAAAUUUGUACUCUAUUAGUAAUCAGUGUUGUUUAAUAGCAGAAACCACUAUGAAAACCGCAGUGCAAUCCUAGUUUUUCGCCGCUAGUUUCUGCUAGCUCGUGUAGCAGCAAUAGAGGAAAACAGAAUUUUAGGGUAUUUUAUAAUAAUAAAACUGAAGAAUCUGAUUGUGUGCCAAGACCUACUUUUAAAACAAAUAAACUGAAGAGUCAAUAAUUGUGUGCAAAUUCUACAUUAUUUUUUUUUCCCAGAGGAAUACAAUAGUUCUUUAAGACUUAUUUAUUUAUAUAUGAGGCCAAAAAAAACUUUUAUCCUCUUCUAGGCUGGUUUAUUAUUUUUCUGAUUUGUGAAAUGAAAUUUUGCAGAUGUUGGUCUCUCAAUUUUGAGAAGAUUCUUGUAUCCAAAAUCAAAUGUGGCAAAGGUGGCCUUAAUGCCUUUUUAUAAAUAUCUUAUACUAUAUCACUACUAUUAUGAUCAUUUUGACUUAUGGUAACUAACCAUUUGUGAUAUUCACUUGAAGACAGAAGACCGGUGAAGGCAAAGCUUCAAAACUUGCAAAAAGGGUAAUAGUUAUGGAAACCCCUUUCUAGUUUAAUCUAGUUUAUAUGUAUACUCGGUCUCAUCAAUGUUUUCAUUAUUUUAUUUGCUAACAACGCAUUCUCUAUGAAGGUGAUUGCAUGUCUUGAUGUGAGAGCAAAUGAUAACGGGGACCUUGUUGUAACCAAAGGAGACCAGUAUGAUGUAAGAGAAAAUACAAAAGAGAAUGAGGUAACAUAGACAACACUCAUAUUUCAAUAAUAUUUAAGAUUUUGGGGUUUUUCUGAUAGGGCAUAUGCCAAAAUAUAGACGAAAACUACUCUUUGGUGCAGAUAUGCCAAAAUUGUAUGAUUAUCAUCUUAUGAAACUGUUUUAAUUGUCAGGUUAGGAAUCUUGGCAAGCCAGUUGAGCUUGCUGAACAGUACUAUAAAGAUGGAGCUGAUGAGGUAACACCUUUGACAAUUAGGUUGUUUUCACAUAUAUUAUGAAGCUUGUUCUUUACAACUAACGUUCAACCUUGGAUGCAGGUCAGCUUUCUAAACAUUACUGGUUUUCGCGACUUCCCUCUUGGCGAUUUACCGAUGUUGCAGGUUUGUGAGAUGUGCCAACAUACUAGUUUUAAUUAGUUGGUGCUGGUUUUAUUUUAUCCAAUACAUCUGUCGGUGUUUCAUGCUCACUAUGGUCCUUGAUAGGUAUUGCGAUAUACGUCAGAAAAUGUUUUUGUUCCCUUAACAGUUGGUGGUGGAAUUAGAGAUUUUACAGAUUCACAAGGAAGGUAUUAUUAUUACUAACUUUUAUGCUGAAUAGUGAAUUGUUGAUUACGCUGUUGUCUUUUUUGCUACAUUCAUUUUAAUUAAAUUUGUCGACUUUUAAUUUUCUAUCUAAGUGUUCUUGCUCGGAAGAUUUAUAAUUGUUUCAUCCAAAUACCUAUAUUCUAGGCACUAUUCUAGUUUGGAAGUAGCCGCAGAAUAUUUUAGGUCUGGUGCUGACAAGAUAUCCAUUGGAAGUGAUGCGGUUUAUGCUGCUGAAGAAUAUUUACGAACUGGAGUAUGGAAUUCAACCUAUUGCUUGUUUCUAUUGAUAUCCUCUAAAAAAUUGUGUUAUUUCUGAUGUUGCAAUGGCUGUCACAUUUAGGUAAAGACAGGGAAGACCAGUUUAGAGCAGAUAUCAAGAGUUUACGGGAAUCAGGUAAAGCUAAGAGCCCAUAGUGACGUCUACUUGUGUAUGUAUAAGUACUUGAUGAGACUCCCUUAACAUGCAUGUACCGGAAACCUCCCCUCCCCCUUUUCACUACAUGACAUUGAAUUAUGACCUGUUCUUUCAAAUUAAUGUAUAUAUCAGUAUAUGUUGCUGCAUAUUUUAUAACAAUUAUUCUGUGCGUUUUUUUUUUGGUGUUAUACUUGAUAUAUGGAUUCAGUUGACUAUAUACCAAUUGAUUUUCAAUUUGCAGGCAGUGGUUGUUAGUAUUGAUCCCCGUAGAGUUUACAUAAACAAUCCAAAUGACGUGCAAUUCCAGACCAUAAAGGUUUCUAGUCCAGGUGCAGCUUUUUCUUUCUUCCUGAUUUUAUAUUUUUCUGCAAGAGUUGUCCAAAUUGAUUGAAUCAUACCAUAAUGAUUAAUGAGAUACAUAGGUCAAUUGCAAGUAGGAUUGUAGGAAGAUCUGGCCUCUUUAGGUUUGGUCCUGAAGAAUUUAUGCCUAGUACUUGUUGAAGUAGGAUUGUCAUAUGGAUGUAUUCUUUUCUCUUCUACUGUUAUUUCUCCCCAUUUACCUUUUGAUAGCACUUUAAGAUGAAAAACCGAGAAGAUGAUGUUUCAUGCAAACUAAUAUUCAUAACCGUUUUAUGUCGGUUUCAGGUCCAAAUGGAGAAGAAUAUGCCUGGUAUCAGUGUACAGUAAGUUCAUUAUCUCUCUACACUAUAUUUUUUAACAUGUUCAUUGAGCUAGAACUCUUAAUCUUGUUUUUCGUUCAUUUAAACACUGCACUAUUAAAACUAGACAUUGCUAGCAAGACAACGGAUAAUUGAUUCUUCCUGUCAUGCAAAAUUUGACCAGUUACAAUUAUAUAUAGUUUCUAGAGAGUAAAUAAAUUAAGGACGACUUGAUAUGAUGUAAAAAACAUUGAGGUUUAUCAUUGUUAAGUAACGGUUUUACAAGAAUAAAAUAUAUAAAACAUGGUAUAAGAAAUGCUAUUAAAUGGUAGUCAUCUAAUAUGAAAAGAAAUAUGAAAGUAACAUCAAUGAAAGAAUAUGGUAAAGUGGUUUUGACGUGGUAGAACUCAGAGAGAUUGUAAUUCACGCAUUUCUUAGAAUUUUGUGAAAGGCAAAGAAUAAAAAUAAAUUCAUUUGACUCUACCUUCCUGAUAUUCUUGUCUCACAAUACUUCUUUUGUCUAAUGUUAAGGUUAAUGGUGGGCGUGAAGGCCGGCCUAUCGGUGCUUAUGAACUAGCAAAAGCUGUUGAAGAACUUGGUGCUGGAGAAAUACUAUUAAACUGCAUCGAUUGUGAUGGUCACUCUCGCUGUCUAUCUUUAUAUUUAAUAAUAUGCUGCUUUUAUUCUUUAUAAUUUUUUAAUCUCUAUUGUUAUCAAUAUUUCAGGUCAAGGAAAAGGAUUUGAUGUAGAUUUGAUCAAGUUAAUAUCAGAUGCUGUAAGUAUCCCUGUGAUUGCUAGUAGUGGCGCUGGUGUUCCUGACCACUUUUCCGAUGUGUUUACUAAAACCAAUGCAUCUGCCGCACUUGCCGCGGGCAUUUUUCACAGGAAGGAGGUAUAACUUUCGUUUUAUUAAUUUCUUAAUUCCAAGGGAAAUUGUUGUUGUGAUAUUUCAGUUCAAUUAUCAUAUUGCUCUUGAUAAUUUUUUUCGUAAAUUGCAGGUACCUAUUCAGUCUGUGAAAGAACAUUUGUUGAAGGAAGGCAUAGAAGUCAGAAUCUGAUCCUUACAUUUUAGUGAAGUUUUCCAGAAAUACACUAUGUUAUAGCAAAGCAUGUUGUAUUUUAUAGCGCAUUUAAAAUCUUAAUUUUGUCAGAAUGUGACAUUUUACCUCUACGAUCUCUCAAAACCAUACCGUGUUUACUUCUAUAUUUGACCAUUUUUUUUUACAAACCCUAUAGUACAGGUUUUGAUGUUUUUCAUGUAUGUCUGAUGUUGGUUCUAUAUGAUUAUGAUGAGACACGGUUUAGGAUACUAUUCUUGAAAGUCUCAGUUUAAAGAGCAUUAUAAUGUUCAAUAUGAUCCUGACAAAGGAUCAUUUUAUGCGUUGACGGGUUAUGUAUGUGGUAUUCCGUUGGACUCAAAUGAGUGACAAACUCUCCUAAGAGGUUUAACAUUGUUGCACUGUAUGCCCAAGCUAAAGAUCGAAUCCAUAACUUCGAAUGCAUUUUCUCUAAUAAGAUUAGUUUUCUCAAUAAGACUGUAAUGAAGAGCUCUUUGAAUUUAUUUUGUUUACAAUUACAUCUUGGAUGGAGGUGGUAUUUGAGUAAGUAUCCUUUAUUUCUUUUUUUUUUAGCCUAAAAAGUGUGCUAGUUUUUUUUUUUGACUAGCAAAAUGGACAAAAUAUUUAAAAUUGAAACCAUUUAUUACUUCAACCGUCUCAUUUUGAUGUGUGUGUAUAUAUUGUAUAAAUAUAAUCACUUCAAUAUAAUAUUAAUUAUUUUUUAUAAUUAUACUUUCUGAUCCUAGUAUUUCAUUUUUUCAUACAUGAUAAUAAUGGACACGCCAAUAUUUGAUAAGAUUAAUUUCUAGUUUUAGUUGUGUGGCAUAGUUUACUUUGUAUAUGAUUUACACCGAUUUUGGAGUUGCUUGCACAUAUUGUGCUAGUUUGUUCAUUUUCAAUCAUUAUUUGCUUUGCACAUCUUGUCAAUAGAUUCUUUUCAACAAGUAAUUCUACUAUUUGAAAUGUAUGAGACAUUAAAUGCGGGUAGUAUAUCUUUUGGUCGAAAUUUGAACUUUAGUUCGUCAUAUUGUAAAAAUCUUUCAUUCUUUCACUUUCUUUCUAUCACAUAAUUCCUCUCUUAUGUUGAAGAGGAAAGGAUUGCUUAUGGGGUUUGCAUGAAGUGAUUCUUUUUAAACGUGGUUUGGGGAUUGUGUCCUAAUAACAAAGGAAGAGCCUUCAUUUCAUUUGCAUGCUAUGCAUUGCCUUUGAGGGUUUACUUACCCCACGUUAACCAUUGACAAGGUAGGAAUGAAUAACGGGGCACUAAUUACACAAAGAGUUUGGGUUCUCUCCAUUUAUUAUCCAUUUGGAGAGAGAUAGACACAUUAAGAAUUAGUGGGACCCGUUAAAAGUGGGUCCCACUAAUUUGAGAACCCCACUAAUUUUUUCUUGUGUCUAUCUCUCUCUAAAUGGAGAAUAAAUGGAGAGAUAAUAAAUGGAGGGAACCUAAACUCUUACGCAAGGUAGUAACCAACAUAGUGUGGCACAAGUGAUAGAUAUUUUGGUCUCUUAACCAUUGGNNNNNNNNNNNNNNNNNNNNNNNNNNNNNNNNNNNNNNNNNNNNNNNNNNNNNNNNNNNNNNNNNNNNNNNNNNNNNNNNNNNNNNNNNNNNNNNNNNNNNNNNNNNNNNNNNNNNNNNNNNNNNNNNNNNNNNNNNNNNNNNNNNNNNNNNNNNNNNNNNNNNNNNNNNNNNNNNNNNNNNUUUAUUUGGAUAUUUUAAAAUGAUAGGAACAAAAUAAGCAAAGAAAAAGCACAAUAGAAGAAGAAUCAAAGAAAGUUCAACAGAAAAUUGUUGGCAAUGUACCUUGUAUAAAUUCUUCUUUCUAGGCAAAGUUUACUUUCUAUUGCAAGUAUAAACUUGCACGACUAUCCUUAAAAAUCUAUACACAAGAAAAGCAACCGGCAAAUAGUAACAGAAGACUUACUCAUAUACAUAUUUCCAAAAGAACAACUAUAUUCAUAGCAAUUUAUAUGCGGUAAAAUACAAUAAUCUUGAAACUGAGUCGAUUUCAGUUGUCGUCUCCACAACAGCAUAUAUGUGAACAACAUUCAAGGCAGGCGAGGCAUCCCAAACCAAUGCAUAGCUGGUUCAAUACAGUUAAGCAUUGGUUGUUCAUCCUGGAAAAGCAUUGGACGCAGCACAUACAGCAACAGUAACCACACACGGUGUCAACGCAAUUUGAGGCUGCUUUAAAGAUUUCAGCCAUUUCAGGCUUCGUUUCAUAUCCUGGAGGAGUAUUUUCAGCUGUUGCUUUCAAGUCGCCAAAGCCAAUACCUACGUGUGGGAGUAGAAUCGUCCUCUGUCCUUGGACAUUUGCAUCGUGCUUAGAAAGUUUCUUUUUUAACACCUGAAUCAAAAUUAUUGAAAAUGUACUGUUUAGAAAAUCUUUUACAACAUUUUAAUCUAUGCUUUAUAACAAUAUAGGCAAACCAUAAAUAGAUUAUGUGCUUGAAGUUAAAACAAACAGGCUGACUAGGUGUUUUUAGAUAUUUCAAUGUUCUUUUGUGACAAUUCAGAUAUUUCAAUGUCAUAUCUCUAAGAAUAAAUGACAGUACACAUUUUCAAAAGAAAAAUUGUAGACACAAUAUCAUAAUGAAAGCAUUGUUUAAUAUCUUGUUUAUUUAUUAGAGAAAAUCAUCAAACUUCUGAUACUUACUUCUUUGGAUCCAGAUGAUUCCUUGAUUUUCUUUAGAUGAUCAGUCUCAAGCAUAAUCAUACAGGUAUACUCAGAUGUAAAGCCAGUCUGCAAGCUCAGUUUUGCGACCUGCCAAUUAAAUGAUGUGGCAUAAGAAAAUUUAUCGAAUAAAGAGACAACAUAAUCUAUAUUAUGUAAAUACUUAGGGGUGAUACUGAUAGCAUAGGAAAUUUUACCAACCUUUUGUUCUAAUUGUUUAUUUUCUGAAAGCCAUGCCUGAGCAGUAAGAAGUUGUAUUUGAUCUCUUGCCGAAACCUGUGGAAGAGAAAAUAGAGCAACACAAUGAGUAUUAAUAAUAAAGGAAGUGAAACAGAAAGGUAAAAAUUGUGGAAAUUUAUUCAUAAAGCAGCAUCUAGUUAAAGAUGAACGUGUCAAAUAACCGAUUAUCCCAAAAGCUUAAGCUGUUAGGAAUAGAGUCAUAUCAAUGGUUUUAUAUUAUUUAUAACACGCCCCCUCACGCAAGAGCCCACUUGGGCUUGAAGCGUGGAUAAUGCAUAGGCUCACCUACCAUAUGCUUAAAUUCCACUUUUUAAUUAGAAAGUGAGGGGAGUGGGGAUCGAACUCUAGACCACUUAGUCAUAGAGGCUCUGAUACCAUGUCAAAUAACCGAUUAUCCCAAAAGCUUAAGCUGUUAGGAUAGAGUCAUAUAAAUGAUUUUAUAUUAUUUCUAACAGAACGGACCACGACUGAGAAUAUAAGAUGAAGCAAACAUGUAUUUAUGAAUCACAGACAAAGAGAAGGAGUAUACCAAUAUAAAGGAUGGCCAACAAUCCAAUGUUCUUUGUAUACCAAUAUAAAGGCUUAAGAUAUAUGAAGGAAGAAAAGGAAUGUAUGUAAUUUGUCUAGAUCCUAAUUUAUUAGGUUUUAUAGUACUGUUAAAACAUGACCUAGCAAUUAACAUGUGCUUCAAGGAAAAACAUUCUUUGAUGCAGUUCACAUAAACAUGAAAUUGUUUGCUUAUGCAGCACCCACAAACAAAAUAUAGAACCUCCUCUACAGAAAUAAUAGAUAUAAUUUUGAAACAAGAAAGUUGAGUAUGCUAGUAGUAGAAGAUUUACCCUUUGUACAGGUAUGCCCUUAUCCUUUUGUAUCUUCAAAUCUAUCUCAAAAUUACUGAAAUCAGCCAUGAUGCCUUUGACUUUGAGAGUUUCAGGAAAAUUUCCCUUGUAUCUGCCGGAUAAAACCAAUGGACCCUCUGACGAAAGAUCCGGGAUAUGGGAAGGGAAUACCUAUCAUAAAACAUUACAGAUAAUGCCGUAAGAAAGAGCCACAAGCUUAGAGAAAACUGGUAAAAUUGAAACAUAUACAAGAGGAUUGUAACAGAAAGUAAAUAGUAAUAAUUUUCAGAUCAUGUGGAUUCCAUCAUGGCAGAAUAUAUAUAUGUUUUCAUUUUCAAACAACACUCUAAAGACUUUUUCAAAAAAACAACACUCUAAAGAAGAUAUAAACAGAAAUGAAUUAUCAAAGCUGUAGUUAUAUACUACAAUCCCCAAAGGUGUAAAUGAACUUCAGUAUUCCGUACUCACAUGGAAAGGCGGAGAACAAUAAAAAUGAACUUGUUUUUGAGUAGUACAAAGCAUAUUUUUGGUAAGGACCAUGGGAAAGAAUGAAAAUCAGGAAGCCAGAAAUGUUAUUUUUUUUACCUCAACAAGAUCGAUUUCAUCCAACAUGUCCAUUUUGAUAUUUGCAAGAAUGAGCGAUGAAGCUUUUUCAAACAAUGACAGCAUUCGAGGCUCAAUCAAAUCUGGCAAUCCAAAAAAAGAGGCACAACAAUAAGAUUACUAGUAAAUGUAGAAUGCAUACAAAGUUUAGAUAGGGCCAUUGAAGAAAUUAAAGUGAGAGUUUCAAUUGCAAGUGACAAACCAGCAAAAUUACUUCUGUUGCAAAGAUGAGAGAGAGAGAGAGAGAUUCUUAGAAUUAUGGAUGUAAAAUUAUUGUUUGGAUAAACAAAUAAAUUAAGUGCUUAUGGCGUAAGAGCUUAUGCUGCAUAAGCUAUCUGUGUUUGAAUGUGUGUCUAAUGAAAAGUUCUUACACAAAAAGUGUUUGAAUGUAAUUACAAAAACCCUUAUAAAAUGUGAUAUUUUGCUUUCAUGUCAGUUUAUCAUCAUAUUGAAAUACAUAAGCUAAUUCAUAAGCUUGUUAGGGGAGCUUAUGAAAAACUGCUUAUAAAUGGUCAUAAGCUCUUGUGAUUUUCUCUCCCAUACAGUUUCACAGGCACUUAUGCCAUUACAUAAGUCUAAAUAAACAAAUAAGCCACUCGACACGGCCCCUAUGUAUACUACAUCGUGUCUGAUCCUUGAAUAAAACUUAAAAAGUUCAUUGUAGUAGAGUCAAAUGUCAAUAAUUAGAUGAUCCAAAUAGAAUUAUGGAACCGACCCCUCGUGUAAUCUAAUUGUUGUUAGACACAUUGAUAUGGUUUGAUAACAGAAAUUUCUCUAAACCUAAAAGUGUUAACUUGCAACAAAAAAAUGAAAUAAGCAAGUACAGUGCCAUGUACUUCUUUAAAAUUUAAUUCAAAACUUACCCACAUCCAGUGCAGCAUCAUAUUGGCCCCUACCAAUCAUAGCAAGCAUCCGCAAGAAAUAAUGAUUGCAGAAUGAACCUGAGGUUGAAUGAGGUGUAACAUUUAAAAUAAGCAAAUUAUAAUAUGGUGAAUUUUUACAAUUACUUAACACAAAUUGGAAGAAUUAAGAGCAAGACCUUGAACAGGGUUUAUCAGAUAAAGAAAUUUUUUUGUUCAAAGUACUAGAAGUCAUACCUAUACCAAAAGUGUAUAUUCGAGGGCAUAUUGACUCUCCAUUGAUCAUAUGAUUUUUUACCAUAUCACAAAUUUGUCUCUCGUCUUCAACAGUUCCAUCUGUAACUAGGAAAAUUAUCGGAACUGAACUUCGAGCACCUGAUAGCAUUUCUAUUGCCUGAACAGAAAAGACAACAAAUACAUAAAUACAUUCUACCCAAUAACAAAGGGCACAAAAUAACUAUUACGGUGAUCUAGUCUGAGAACACAUAAACGAAGAAGAAUCUGAGGAAUGAGUUCUCCAAAGCCUCAAUGCAGAAAGUUGAGCAUAGAUUGAUUUGUAUGCUUAGUACAUAACAUGUUGGUUCAGUAUUAACCACUGCUCAAUAAUCUUAUAAUCUUUCUGUUUAUGAAAAGCUGCAUAUAUUUUGUUGGUAUACCGUAUUUAACGGAUGUGAAAUAUUUGUACCGCCUCCAGCAACAAAGUUCGUGUUGAUCCACUCAUUGGCCCUUUCUACAGCAUCAUUGGAAGCCAAUUCCAUUGAUUUUGAAAAUAGAUGACUCUCUCCAUUAAAGGCUAUAAUUGUAAACAAAUCAUCGGGAUUAAGCUUAGCGAGAGCAGACAGUAAUGCAUUCUUUGUGUCAUCCAUUAGCUUUCCCUGCAUGCUUCCACUGAUGUCUAUGAUGAAUAUUAUCUCCUUUUUGAAUAUCUAAACAUCACGAACAAGAAGGAUUAGAAGUGAGAAUAGAAAAAACAAUUUCAAACACACACUCAAAGUUUACUAUUAGUGUACAAACCUUCUUAUGCUGAAUAUCUCCAGGAGAAAGAUAUAUGUAGAACAUCUCUCUUUGAUCGAAAUCAUGCACAGAUGCAGAUUCCAAGAGAACGCCACCAUUUAUACGACUUGACGACACCUAAAUACAGAUAACAAUGUAACAUGCUAAUAAUUAAUAAGAUACUCUUUCAAUCAUUUGCGAAGCUACAAAGAAAAGCAUAAAAUAAAAUGACCAGGAGUCUUACUGCAUAAGAAAAGCUAAAAUCAUCUUUUGACCAUGAGAGAACAUCGUUAUCACAUAAGAAACCUAUACUCCCAGCUUGACGCCUCACUUCCUGUACAGUCAGAAUAAAAUGGUCAAUAGGUUAUAUACUAUAUAUCUUCUGUGAAAUUUCAACAAUGGUCCAGUGUUGUUAAAUAGCGGCUCUAUAACGUGACACAUUUUGAAAAUAACCGCUAUUUUAGUACAAAAUGUUGUCAAAUAAUGAAUUUAUCUAUCAGUUUACACAGUGGAAAUUAUUUUCUGCAAUCCGUGAUUAACAACACCGCAGUGGUGCCAUAUGUGAAAAUCCAACCAAAUAAGAACCUGUAGAGGAUGGCUUGUUGUUUUGAACAGAAGCUCACUUCCAGCAACAACAUCAACAUUCAGUCGUAUCUUUUCUCUUUUAGCCAUUCUCUUCCCAGCAGGGUUUAUAAAUUCAGGAAAGGUAAACGGCACAUUCAAAGAGUACUCGCCAUUGGAGCAUACUACUUUCUGAGACCAAUUAAUUUUAAUCGAUAAAUUUGAACCCCCAUCAAUCUGUCACAAACAUCAUAAACAUAUUAAGACAACUCACUAAAUUAAACAAAAAUAGAAAUCAACAUCACUUAAACACUUGAGCUAAAUAUUCACCUCUGGUAUAGUUAACAUAAAUAUAUUUGAUUUAAGAAAUCCUCCAUUUUGAGCUUGUGUAGCACUUUGAUUUUCAUCCAUAACUACCAGUUGAGUAGAAUAAGAUUUUCUCAUAGCAUUAACCUCAACACCUAGAAUUGAACCCUGUUAGCAAAAUCAUAUGAAAAAUAAAUAAAUUAGUUCAUCAUAUUCUAAACUUCAAUGCAACUUCAAUGCAUAAAUUAAGUUNNNNNNNNNNNNNNNNNNNNNNNNNNNNNNNNACCGUUAGAGUAAAAAGCUAUUAACUACUAGUAGUAUAAUAGUAUGAAUAAAAAAUUGAGAAUAAAGAAAACUUCAAACGGACACAAAAAAACAGAUAAAGCUGCAAAAAUAAAAAAAAGUAGUACCUCGUGGCCGAUUGGAAUGGCGAGACGGCAAUCACAGGAGCUGCUACCGGUAAUGCAAUGGAGUCUCCAAGUACCGGAGACGGUGAUAAUAGCAGUAUCAAGAUAACAAUCAAUUUCCAUUUCAAUUGCGUUCAUCUGAAGCGGAAUAAGUGCCGGAGGAUCACAGCGUCCAUAGACGUGUGGUUGGUAGCUAGCGAUAUCUGGAUUAUCUACGAUCGCUGGAUCGGAGAUAACUGCAUAAACCAUUGGUGCUUUAGGAAGAAGUGCGUUUGUUGACCUUUCCAUUAAGGUUGGUAGCUUCGGCGGCGCAACGGCUCUGUCUUUCCCGAAGUAUAUGCGUUUAGAGAGCUUCAUUCCGUCGUCGACGGCUCUACAGAAUUCGUCCGCCAUUAGAGAGAGUGAAAAAGCUUAGAAGAAGAAAGAAAACCCUUUGAAGAAGAAGAAUAAUAAUUGAAAAAAUGAAUAAAUAAAUUAGUAAAAGAAAAGAAUUAAGAAAUGGUUUGUGAUUAAGGGAAGGUGAGAGUGUAUUUGUGUGUGUGUGUGGGUCCUUCUUAAAGUGUAAGCAUUUGGUUUUCCGUUAUAAGCCACGUGCGACCAUUUGCGUCGUGACACGUGUGUUUUUCCACCGUCGGCAAAUGGAAUGCGGAAUUGGAUUUCUUAUUGCGUGGACCCAAAUUCGGUUGAUCCGCGUUUUAGAUUUGAUUAAUUAUGUAUGUAUGAUUAAUAACUUGAUUUUUUCCCUUAAAUAAUGUUUGAUGAAAUGUUAUAGCUUGUUUGGACUUUGGAGUAUGUGUCAUAAUAGUCUAGUAUUAAACUUUGCAUCUAAAAUGAAAAAAAAUUAAAAGUUAUUACAAGUUUAACUUUAGAUACUCUACUUGGUAUUUAUUUAUUUAAUAAUUAAUGUGAGCUGAAUUUGGUAGGGAGGAUUACAGUUCGAUUCCCUGUAAAAUGCGAUUGUCAGGAGGCUGAAUCCCGUUAAUGCUAGAACUAAUUCUCAAAUUAGAUUAGACAGUCCAGUCGUCUGAAUACUGGUGGUCUGAAAACCAAAAAAAAAAAAACUCAAUUAAUCUUUGAGACACAACUUUCAAUAUUAACGUAUAGGGAGUCUCGUUUAGAAUUUUCUUUUAUACUCCCUCCGGUCACUAUUGUAAAUAAAUUUAUUGUUUUUAGCUCAUUAGAAUAGUGAUGUAUUUAUUAUUAAUAUAUUAAAAUCGAUUACUAUCAAAGUUAUUAAUUUAUCUUUAUUACUUUUAACCACGUUACAAGUUUUAUAUCCUUCAUUGUAAUUUCACUAAAGGAAUAUAUAUAUAUAUAUAUAUAUAUAUAUAAACAAUAUAAGAUAAAUACAAAAAAUAAUAAAAUAUAGACAUAAUAAGAUGAGGAAAAAAUAUUAUAUAUGAAUUUAUGCAUAAAAAUAGAAAGAAAAAAAAACAAUAAAAAUAAAUUAUGGACAGAAUAUAGAAAAAAUAAGUGUAUACAAAAAAAUAGAAACAUUAUACAUUAUCAAAAAAGAAACAUAAACAAUACCUAUAUUAAAAAAAAAGAAACAUAAACAAUAUUUUUGAUCAAAAAUAAAAUAAAUAAUAUAACUACCAUGUUUACUACCAACUAUUACUAAUAAUUAGUCAAAAAAAACUAUUACUAAUAAUAAUAAAAUAAAGUUAAUUACUAUCAAAUUUACUAAAUUACCCUAUAUAUUCCUAAUAAAAUUUUGAAUUUUCGAUUAAAAAAUAUAUACAGGACCAUUAUUUGUCACUGAAACAUAAAAUAUUGGAUAAAUAAGCUUUACAAAAAAUAACACAAUAGUUUCACUUAUAUUUAACAAUAUUUUAUAACAAAUUUAAAUAUUUUAUUCUAAAUAAACUUUCUACAUUAAAAUAAUAAUAAACUUAAAUAUCGAAUUAAAGUCAAUGGACUCGUGCAUCGCACGGGUCUUUAAACUAGUUUAGUUUAUAAUAUGAACGACAUAUAUUACUCUUCCAAUGUACUGAAAAAGUUAAAUUUACUAAUAAUAGUGACUCAAAAAAAUCUAUACUAACACAAUGUAAAAAUGACAUUAAAAAAAUUAUACUUUAGGCAUUUAAGAAAACACACUUCAAAUGUCCCAAAAUUUUUUAAUCCAAAAAUAUAUUUCGCAUGUAACCGUAUAAAUUAAUCCAUUUAAAGGAAUAACUUCUUCCAAUAAUUUUUUCUCAUAUGCAUCGGUUAAAGAAUAAACUCAGGAUUUAUGACUUAUGUUAUGUACUCCUAAGUCACAAAUUUCUACAAUCGUUAAGUUUCUUCCACUAGGAGCCAAAUUAUGUUGGUAAAUGGUAAUCCUCUAAUAUCCCUACUGACAAUAAUAAUAAUGACAAAAAUGGGUUCAAAAUAAAUGGAGAACCUGACUAGAGACGAGAUGAAUAGAAACAACAUCCAUUCAUUAUUAAUGUGAAUAAGAUGGAGGUCCAUGUCAGCAUUCAUUGAUAAAAUGCAACUGAGCUGUCAUCACCCUCCAACUUGACCGUUGGAAUAGCUAUAAAUUGACAUAUGCUUUUCUGACUUGUAGGCCGUUAUCAACCUACGAGCCAUUCGUAUGAUUUCCAACGUAUUUUAGCUUCAUCUACUUGCAAUAAGCAAGGAAGGCUUUCAAUUUUAACCUCAACCGAAUUUCAACCAGCAUUUUAACACUAUUUGUUAUUUUACAUGUUCAUUCAGUUGUACCACAAUAUCUAGUUUUUAAAACAUCUUGAAAAAUACUCUAAUUGGCAUGGUUUGAGAUUAGGUGUUUGUGUAAAAAAAAAUUUACAAAGUAUGGUCAAAGUAUUAGAGAUGUUAGCAAAUAUUUUGUAAAAAAAUUACGCAAUAUUGUCGAUGUUUAAAUCAAAUAAUGCUCAAAUUAAAUUAUGUAAAUAGUGUACAAGAUAAAAUGUGACACUUAAAAAAAUAAUAGAGACAGUAUAUCGUGUAUACAAAUCACAUCCACAAAAGGUUAAACUAUCCGGGUUUAAUUGAAAAUAUAACGAAAUUAUAAGGAUAUCUAUCUAUACUAUAUAUAUAUAUAUAUAUANNNNNNNNNNNNNNNNNNNNNNNNNNNNNNNNNNNNNNNNNNNNNNNNNAAUACCCUUGAUUUUUUACUAACAAACUCACCAUAACAUAAAACACUUUUUUUUUUGUAGUAGAAAAAAAUCUUUUAUUAACAAACUCACCAUAACAUAAGUCAUAUUUUUUUUUUUGACAUAAGUUAGACACAUCGCCUGCCUAGCCUGCAAGUAUCUAUAAAGAUUAUACAAAAUUUUUUGGUGUGGACUUUUCAUAAUACCAACGAUACCCUUAAUUUUUUUUAGCAGAAAAAAUAUUUUGUUAGUAGCAAAAAUCUUUUAUUAACAACCUCACCAUAACAUAAGACAUGUUUUUUUAGCAGCAAAAAUCUUUUACUAACAACUCACCAUAAAGCAUGCCUUUUUAUUAACCUUUUUUGACAUAAAUUUACAUAAUAGACGCGCGCUCUUUCUGAGCGCUAGUAAGAGGAUAACAUCAAUGCAUUGAAUGCAUUUUUCAAUAGAAAAAAAAAAAAUUCUAUAUUUGACCGUUUACAAGAGAGAUCCAACUCCAAGUGUCUAUUGCUUAAAGCAUUUCAAAGGAGGUGUGUUAUAUAAACACAACAAAGUUGGACAAAAAUACAACAUCAUCUUUUCUCCACUCACAACACGAAUAUCGAGACGUGCAACAAAUAUUAAAAAAAACAAAAAAUAUAGUUUUGUUGUAUUUUUGUUAAAAAAUUAUGUUUAAAUAACAUUUUCCUUUCAGAAUUCUCAAUUCUGAUCUAAUAAUACGACCAACAUGAGCAAACAAAGUACGUACUACUCCGUCCCAAAAUAUAAGCAAAAGGAGGUCAACAAAAGUGAAUGUAUCUAGACUAUAUUUUAAACAAAAUACAUCAACUUUCAUUGACUAAUUUUUGCUUAUAUUUUGGGACGGAGGGAGUAUAAUAGUAUAAAUUUUUUGACAGCAAAACAUUAUUAUUAAUAUUAUCAGCGAACGCAUAAGUGGAUAGACGACGAGCUCAUAAACAAGUGAAAUAACUAUUGCAGCAAACAAAGAGACCUCACUCACUAAUAAUAUUAUCGAUGAUGAACUGUAUAAGAUAAUAAUAUUGAACAUAACAUGUAUGUAUCCAGGGUAUGCUGUGGCUUUUCUACAACGUAUAAUAAAAUAUGGGACUAAGAAAGAGCAUUGUACCCAAAAAAAUCUGAGACUAAGAACACUAUUCAUUUCCAAUCCCCCUUCCCCGUAAGAGAAAAUAUAUUUAAAAGGAGAGAGAGCACUGGGAUCUUGUCCUAUUGAUUUUAAACCUCAACAAGGCUAAGAACUCACUUUAGUAACAAUCUUCCACGCUCCUCUACUCCAGCAUUGACUAUGAACCUUACUUCUCUGCUGAGGACACACAAAUGACCAUAUACAGAAAGUAACUAAUUUACACAUCAAAUAAGUUUUAUAUUAAACACCUCAAAAUUUUGCUUAGCGUGGAAUUUUUAAGGCAGGGCGAUAUAACUAGUCUGUGCAUGCUAUAUCUUCCGAUGUCUCACCAAACCAGCAUGAUAGUUUAGACUCAGGACAUAGUAUAGCUUAACCCCAUGACUGCAUCCUCCCCAAAACUAAGGUUUUAAAAGUGAGUGAUCUUUUCCUAGCCAAGGAACGGCUUUCACCCUUUCAAGGCCAACCAAAUACUCUCCUAAAACCAUGAUGUGCAAACUAGAUUUGAGCAAAGAGCAUUUCAUUCCAUGUAUCAGGAACACCUGGCAAACACCAGUGUAAGCAAUCCUGCACACCAGGCUUUGCUGUUAAGCNNACUUGAUCACUGGACUCCUCUUCAAGUAAUUCUUUUCCCACUGACAUUGGUUUAGUGUUGUCACAGCUGCCUCCUGUGUUCCAUUCCCCACCAAAAAAAUGCCUAGGAGAAAGGGUACGAAAAAAUGCCUUCAAACCUGGAUAUUUUGGAAGCUGUGUAUCCACCCAACUAACAACGCUGCGAAUUGUAAGAUUCUUGGCAGCCCAAAUCACGGCUAACUUCCUAUCAGUAUUUGGCACACCACCAACAUGCAUUACCCAUCGAUUGCCAUUGAGCUUUCCUCGAUUCCAGUGAUGACCAGUGUUGAGAACCAAGACAUCAAAUUUGUGUAUAAACUGACGCAGGAAUGCUGGGGGCCGAUCAAGGUGCAUUGCAUAAUCCGUGUUUGGGUUUUUUACAUCAAUAGGUUCAACAUCACAUAAGCUUGCCGACCAGUAAUACAAAAUGGUAGUCUUAGUGCUUGAAAAACGGUAUGCCCACCCAUUAGGACGGGCAGACCCAUCAGCUACAACCAAUCCAUAUUCCUUACCCACAUCUUCAACAUCAUUUGUCUCCUUACCGCCAGUUACCAUGCACAUUAAAGACUGGAACUGCUGCCGGCCUAAUGAGUCUCCCACAAAAGCUAGAGUUUUAUUUUGCAUCCUGAAUACACAAAGAUUAACAAUUAGCAAGUAUUAUACAUUUAUAGCUUUUUUGCAGUUGAAACAAAAAAUGUGGACUAAUAAAAAUGUAGCCAGGAUAGUUGGAGCAUUUAUCUAAAUCAGAGGAAGUUCAUAAAAGCAAAGGCAGCAGUCAUACAACAAGAACAAAAAUAGACUGAAUUGAGUAACAUGACACUAUCAUGCUAACACAAGCCCCAAAGCUUACCAACCCUCUAUCAAGUAAAUCGAGGAGCAUCUCAUGCAUCUGUCAACUCAAAUGAGCUUAUGGGCUAAAGGAAUUAAAAAAAUCACAAUGUUCAGCAUAAAAUUAAUGAAAUGUUCCGAAGGACAAUACAUGAGUGCAAUCUAUAUGCAUGGAUCAAGAGAACAAAGUACCUUCUCAAGAAUUUAGAACCUUCAAACUCCUCCAUUUGACAAUCUUUUGGUUGCCAUCUAAGAUUCUCGUAUGUGAAAUCAGUACGUUGCAUCAUGCGGCAAGCCCACAUUGCAGAGAGCCACUGUUUGCAACGAAAACCUGAAUACAAAGGCCGUUUGUUGUCUGGAACCCAUUUUCCUUUUGCGUAGUUACAGUCUGGAGAAAGAGUAAAUACGAGAAUAUUCAUUUGUUAGCAACACUCGCAGAUAUACUGUUGGUUAGUCUAACUUUAUGGGGAUUAUAAAAGGUUUCAAGAUGUCUUGAGAAAUUAAAAAGAUAAAUAGUUUCCUACAAAAAAUUAGGAGAUGCACUUCACUUGAAAGGUCAUCAUUAGAAAAUAAGUCGAAGAACAUUUAUCAAAUUUUCGUUGACCUAUUAUGUUCAAACUUUCUUUAGAAACAAUGGGAAAAAUUGGUUCCUUGUAAAAAAUCAGAGAUAUUCUUUGAAAAGCAGCUCAAUUCUAUGUUGAAAAGCAUGCAUGAUGCAUCCACAUCUUUUCAACUCAUCCAAAAGAUAGUAAACGUUUCAAUAGAGUUUCACUGGUGAUAAGCAAAGAGACUAGUACCUUUGUUUUCUGUAUCAUUAUUCCAACUUUCUUUUCUGACAGGUAAAGAGGUUUUUUGUGGAAUGUUGAUGACAAGAUCUAUUUUAGGUUCUUCUUGUUUGGAAUUUUUCUCAACCUUAUCUUCAUUACUUUUAACCUCAGAUGUUGUUAGGCUGAAAGGAGUUUGUACACCAUGGCUUUUCUCAACUUCCAAAUCUCUUUCGUGUUUAGUUUCUUCACCGGACACACGUGACAUGGUUUCUACACCAUCACAAUAAAAUAAAUUUUUAUCCCCAAGAAGGUAACUUGCAAAUGAGAUUAACAAAAAGAAAAGGAAAACCACAUGGUAAGAGCUUAUGGCUAAAAGGUCCUGGAAUAUAAUAUAUUUUAGAAGUUAUAAUCAGGGACGGAACUAGGUAGCGAAGAAAAGGGGCAGCCGCCACCCCAUCAUACAUAUAGUAGUAGUAUAAUAUCCUAUGUAACAUAUAUAUUGCCACCCCUGAUAUUAAAAAAAAAUUAGUAGUCUGCCACCCUUAUUUUUGUUCCACUCAAUCUUUCAUAAAGAUAUGCUAGUAUACUUAUAAAAUAAUAAUAUUUGUUAACUAUUUUAAUUUAAGUCCCGUGAGCUUAGCUCAGUUGGCAGAACAUUGCUUAUAUAUGCAGGAGGGUGGGGUUCAAAUUCCAGUCAUCCCACCUAACUAUUUUAAUUUAUGUCAUUUUAUGAUUACAAAAGCUAAAUUUACCAAAAACUUUAAUUUCAUUCUACUAGGUUUUCUAAGCAUGGUUAUUUUAAUAUGUUAUAAUCUAAGAAAAACAUGGACGCUCUUUAGAUCAGACGUGUCCUGGUGUCCGACACCGACACAACAUUGACACUUAUGAUUACAUUGUAUUAUUUUAUUUAGUCAAAUUAUUUUCUGUGUCGAUAUGUCAGUGUCCGUGUCUGGUCCGAUAUCCGUAUUGUUUUAUUGGUUAUAAUAUAUAGCUCUACUUUAUAAAAAAGAUUCUUAAAUAGUAUUGUGUUUGAAAAUAUUAAAUAGAAGAAGUUAGUUAAGGUUGAUGUUAUUUAUCAAGUGUUAUAUUUCCGCCACCCUCGAUGAUUUUUUCUGGUUCCGUCCCUGGUUAUAAUCAAGCCUUAUCCCACUAAAUAGCUGGUGUAGAACCAAGCCUUGCCUACAUCUAGCAUUAUUUUUAAUUUNNNNNNNNNNNNUCAACAGAAUGGUAGCUGGCACACAGUACUCCGAUCACUAUAGUAACAAACAGUAUCGGCCAACAAAUGCGGCACCAUAUACAGAGGUCAAAAUGUCCUUGUCGGAAACAGAAUAUGGUACUACAUCAUGAAGCAUUGCAAACAGCUGAGAGAAACAUAGAGGAAUAAAGAAAGCAACAUCUUACUUACGUUCUGUAUGUGAAGUAGUUCUGGUAUUACUUUCACCCAUACUUUUUUCAGAAGAGCUAUGUGCAGAAAUNNNNNNNNNNNNNNNNNNNNNNNNNNNNNNNNNNAUCAAGAUCUUGUUUAUCUAGCUCAUCGGUGGUCUUUUUGUUUGACAUCAAUGAGUCGUGCUCCGCCACAUGUAUGUGUGUAUCUGGUGCAUUCACCGAAGAACUGCUAUCUGCAGAAAUUGUCUGAGAUGCUAAAUCAAGAUCUUGUUCUUCUAGCUCAUCAGUGGUCUUUUUAUUUGGCGUCAAUGAGUCGUGUUCUGCCACAUGUAUGAGUGUAUCUGGUUCAUUCCCUGAAGAACUGCUAUCUAAAUGAUUUGCAAACAUGUGAACAUGGUGUAGAAAGGACUGAGAAUAAUGCAAAGCACUUUAAAUCUUGGUUGCAAGAAGAUAAGUCAAUAAUUUAGGAUAAUUAUAACUGUUGAUUGUAAUUGUCAUUCUCUUAGAAGUGCCGUUGCCAGAGAAUUAAUUACACACCCACGUGCAAGUGUUCAGCACGAGUUCUUUGGAUACAUGCAAACUACUCGCCACCGUCCAGUUGUCAUUGUCUUCCCUGACGGUCUAAUUUGGCUCUUCAUCACCUUCUCAUUCUGCUCUGCACCAAUUUUACCACAUUCGUUUCUUGUGAUUCGCAGGUUUGGUUUUCCCCAGAUUUUGUGUUUUUAGGGCUUCUAUUUUAU